CCUACGGGGGGCAGCAGUGGGGAAUAUUGGACAAUGGGGGCAACCCUGAUCCAGCCAUUCCGCGUGUGUGAAGAAGGCCCUCGGGUUGUAAAGCACUUUCAGUGAGGAAGAACGCCUGGUGGUUAAUACCCAUCAGGAAAGACAUCACUCACAGAAGAAGCACCGGCUAACUCCGUGCCAGCAGCCGCGGUAAUACGGAGGGUGCGAGCGUUAAUCGGAAUUACUGGGCGUAAAGCGCGCGUAGGUGGCUUGAUAAGCCGGUUGUGAAAGCCCCGGGCUCAACCUGGGAACGGCAUCCGGAACUGUCAAGCUAGAGUGCAGGAGAGGAAGGUAGAAUUCCCGGUGUAGCGGUGAAAUGCGUAGAGAUCGGGAGGAAUACCAGUGGCGAAGGCGGCCUUCUGGACUGACACUGACACUGAGGUGCGAAAGCGUGGGUAGCAAACAGGAUUAGAUACCCUUGUAGUC
rnacentral:rRNA from 1 species